rnacentral:rRNA from 1 species
UGAGGAAUAUUGGUCAAUGGGCGAGAGCCUGAACCAGCCAAGUAGCGUGCAGGAUGACGGCCCUAUGGGUUGUAAACUGCUUUUAUAUGGGAAUAAAGUGAGGGACGUGUCCCUUAUUGCAUGUACCAUACGAAUAAGGACCGGCUAAUUCCGUGCCAGCAGCCGCGGUAAUACGGAAGGUCCAGGCGUUAUCCGGAUUUAUUGGGUUUAAAGGGCGCGUAGGCUGUUUGUUAAGCGUGUUGUGAAAUGUAGGAGCUCAACUUUUAGAUUGCAGCGCGAACUGGCAGACUUGAGUGCGCACAACGUAGGCGGAAUUCAUGGUGUAGCGGUGAAAUGCUUAGAUAUCAUGACGAACUCCGAUUGCGAAGGCAGCUUACGGGAGCGCAACUGACGCUAAAGCUCGAAGGUGCGGGUAUCGAACAGG